rnacentral:lncRNA from 1 species
CUUUAUCUCUGAAUGGGGUUAUGAGACUCGUGUUUUUUCUAAUGAUCAAUCGGCUGUUGCAAAUUGUGGAACUUAUUUUGGAGAUUUUCUACCUCGAUUUCAAACGUGGUAUGACCCUUAUUCAAAUAGGUAUGAUCAAGGAUGGUAGGAUAAUUUCAAUUUUAACUAUGCGAUCGGGCCAAUGGAUUUUCAACAGCAAGAGUCUCAACAACCAUCAUCCGUGUCAGGUAUGUCUUUUGAAGAAAUGAUUGAAUUACUAGCUGCUAAUACAUAUCGAACUCAGUAGGAGACACAAGCGAUGGCGGAUCAAGUGCAACUAUUGAUAUCCGGGAUGGCAGAUCAAAUACAUCUAUUGACAUCCAGGAUAACGCGAUUAGCUUCUCACCUUGAAGAAUUGCCCUCACAAACCAAUAUCAACCUUGAAGAAGAUGAGAGUGCAAUUAUCCGGCCAAAUGACAUGGAACUGCAAGAGUUUCAAGGAAACGGAUCUAAAGAUGCAGUUGAAAAGGAAGCUGAAGUGCAAGAAAUGAGACCCCAGUAUCAACUCGUCCAGGUGAAUGAAUCCAGUGAACAAUUUCCAAAUGCGAUGACAUCUCCUCCAGUCCUUAAUCAAUAUUCUCCUGAUUCUUAUUUUUUAAUUCCUGUUAAUGAAAUUGACUUUAUUAUACCAGAAAAUUUUGAAUUUCAUGACAGGAAUAAAUUAAGAGUAGCGAUGACAAGAUAUCUUGGACCAGUAAAUGCACGUGAGGGGGAAGUUAAUGGAGAAUGCAAAUUAUCGUUGACUUGUUUGGUGCCAU